AAAGGUUUGGUCCUAGCCUUACUGUUAAUUGUAGUUAGACCUACACAUGCAAGUUUCCGCUGCCCAGUGAGAAUGCCCUAAAAGUUACUCUAAAACAAACAGGAGCAGGCAUCAGGCACACUUCAAGUAGCCCAUUACGCCUUGCUUAACCACACCCCCACGGGAAACAGCAGUGACUAACAUUAAGCCAUAAACGAAAGUUCGACUAAAUUAUAAUUAUUUUAAGGGUCGGUAAAUCUCGUGCCAGCCACCGCGGUCAUACGAUUGACCCAAAUUAACAGAAAAUCGGCGUAAAAUGUGUUUAAGCACCCACCACAAUAGAAGCUAAAACCCAACUAAACUGUAAUACGCUAUAGUCAACAUUAAAAUAAACAACGAAAGUGGCUUUAACACUGCUGAAGACACGAAAGCUAAGAAACAAACUGGGAUUAGAUACCCCACUAUGCUCAGCCAUAAACUAAGAUAGUCCAAACAACAAAACUAUCCGCCAGAGAACUACUAGCUAACGCUUAAAACUCAAGGGACUUGACGGUGUCCUAAACCCCCCUAGAGGAGCCUGUCCUAUAAUCGAUAAACCCCGAUAAACCCCGCCUAUUCUAGCCAAUACAGCCUAUAUACCGCCAUCGUCAGCCUACCCCACAGGGUAAUAAAGUAAGCAAAAUCAUCACCCAUAAAAACGUUAGGUCAAGGUGUAGCAUAUGAAUAGGAAAGAGAUGGGCUACAUUUUCUAAGCUAGAAAACAACGAACUAUCUUAUGAAAUUAAGAUACCGAAGGAGGAUUUAGUAGUAAAUCAAGAAUAGAGAGCUUAAUUGAAACAGGCAAUAGGAUGCGUACACACCGCCCGUCACCCUCCUCAAUUACCAUAAAACAAUAACUAAUAAAACCUAAACAGAAAGAGGAGAAAAGUCGUAACAUGGUAAGUGUACUGGAAAGUGCACUUGGAAUA
rnacentral:ncRNA from 1 species